ensembl:lncRNA
CGUAAACGUGAAAGGCACCAGAAGAUGCCAAAAGGCAACAUGUUUGUUUGCCUUCACUCUUGGUCUAUAUGUCGUGUACGUCUCCCCAGUUUAAUCCAAUGGAAGAGACGAGAAGAAUCUAUUGUGCUUUCGAUGUUAAAUCAGUAGGGCAACUAGUGAUUGCAGCUAAUGAUAAAUCUCAAAAUAAUGUUUUGGAAUUGAUUUGAGCAAAGACAACAGAACACAAAACAAAACAAUUUCCAGUGCAUAUUUUAUAUGGGAAGAAACACUUUAAUUUUUUAUUCGAAUAAUAAUUCCACUAUUAGCUAUACUGCAAGAACCAGAAAAUCUUUUUCUCUUAAGAUAACACUCACAUAUUUCCUCUCUUUUAAAGGCAAUUGUCCAUUUUAUUCACUAGUCAAAAUGUGUCAUGUUUAUGUAUCAUAUUUAGCAUAUCCUGUGUAUCUUAUUUAGAAAUGCUUUCUGCAUUUAAAAAGGAAUCAGGGUCUCUAGAAAAGUAAUGUUGCUUAUCAUUCAUUAGUUUCACAAUUCUUUUGAUUAGUCCUCAAUGCAGCUAUCCCUCUCCGUGCUCUGUGAGUAUGUAGGCGUGCUGAGUGCCCCCUGUACCCUUCACCUUGCUGUCUUAUAAUAUACAGACAAUGCAUUUCAAGGAUCUGGUUUAUUUUAAGUCUCUCCUAGCAUGAGAGUCACCCAUGCACACGGUCUUAUCAUUUGCAAAUUAUAUUUUAGGACUCAAAUUUGCCAAGAUCUGCUUUGCUUCACACACACACACACACACACACACACACACACACACACCACCUGCACUUUUCCCUGACCCGGAGCACUUUUCCCUACCCUCUUCCAUCCUUCAGCUUGAUGAACUCCUAUUAGACGGUUAGGUUUCAGGCUGGGGGGUCACAUAGCCCAGAAAGCGAUCUCUGACUGACAUGUAUUUGUUUUCAUAAUAUCCUUUUCUCUCCCAAUUCAGUUCUUCUCUUCGUUUACAGGAACUUUAUGAUAACAAAAAUGUGCUCCCCGCUCAACUGUAUGUUCAAUGAGGAAAGGAACUCUUCAUUUAGUCAAAGCUCCCUAUCCAGGUCUCACAGGUACUCAAAUAAAUAUCUGCUGGACGAUUGAAUGUAUGGAAGUACGAGUCAUGGCGGCGGGAAACACCGUCCCCAGCUAGAUGAGGAUUCUGAGGUACAAAAAUGGUGACUUACUCGCUCAAAAUGCUACAGCAUAUCUGUCAUUGGAAACUAGAUUUUUUUCAACGGCUUUCCACAUACUAACAGAGAGGAAAAUGGAUAUGAACAGAGCGAACAAUUAAAUGCACUGUAUGAAGUUGGAACAAAAGACAAGAGAAGGAUUACAGAGCAUAGCGUUGCUCUUUCUUUGACACUUUAUGUCUAAGGUUUGACUUUCUUAUGAUUUCCCUUCAUACACGAGCAUCAUUUAGGGUGGGGCGAAAACAGCUUUCAGGGUGAAAAUACCUGUAUAACAUAAGCUUUAUAACUGGGCUUGAGGGAUCUGCUAACUGGAUUUGCUAAGUCACUGGUUCCCCGACUUAGAGAUUAGGAGGUUAGGCAUGGUUUAGUUUCGGACAGAGACGGUCACUACGUUGAAUACUUAUCAGCAUUUCCAAGGGUUUGGAAAGUGGAAUCCCUUUGAUCAAGUGUGCCCUUCCCCACACCACGUUAGAAGAUAGCGAGAGCGUGCAAACAUCUCUCCCGUGCUGCUGGGCGCGGGGACUGCAGCCACACGCCUGGGUUCAGGCUUCGGGUGGGAAGCUCUAUGCGCCCACUGCGUGGAAGUAGGAGGCUGAAUCUCUGGUCUGGGAUGCGGAAAGCUCUGCCCAUCCUUCAUACUAAUAGUGGUCCUUCGUUUAUUUCUCUUCCUUUUAUUCCCCAUUUAAAUAUAUCAGAAAAAGGAUCCUGGAGCUUUUUUCAGGGUUCUGUCUGUACCAGUGAAAGCUAGAAAGAUGCAGAAGAGAUACAGGUGAGAUUGGUGCUUUCUUGCUCAUAGAGAUGAAGCGGGAGGCUCUGCUCCACAUUGACGUUGACCGCUCAUUCCUGUCCAGAAAGAGAAUCAGAUAUAUCUCAUAUCUGAUGAUCAAUCUGCAGUAUUUACCUAGUAACAC